rnacentral:rRNA from 1 species
AGAGUUUGAUCCUGGCUCAGGAUAAACGCUGGCGGCGUGCCUAACACAUGCAAGUCGAACGCCUAUCGCAAGAUGGGAGUGGCGGACGGGUGAGGAACACGUGGGGAUCUACCCAGAGGUGAGGAAUACCGGCGAGAAAUCGCCGACAAUACCGCAUAGCCUCGGCAACGAGGAAAGUCGCAAGACGCCUGUGGAUGAAC